ACUGUUACAGUGAAUUACUGAGUGACAGGGUGGUGUGAUGAAGCAGAGCUCCUGUUCCCACCCUGAAGUUGAUUAUUUUCCUGUAAUAGUGCAUCCCCAAGUGUUUCAUUCCUCUGAAACCAAACCAGUUUACAAACUGUUCCAACAUUACAUCAUAAGAGGGUUAAGGGCCUUGCUCAGGGGCCCAGCAGUAGCAGCUUGGUGGUGGUGAGAUCUGAAAUCACGAGCCUCUGAUCGGUCGUCCAACAUUUAAACCACUGAGCAACUGUUCUCAUUGACAUUAGAGCAGCGAUAAACAGUCGUUCACUCACCAGCUGUUACCAUAGAAACGAUAACGUAUUAGAACGAGGGCAUUAAUAUAAACCUGUGAUUGGCAGCUGCACUACUGUCAGAGCUGCUGUUAUAGAAAACUAAUCAACACCUUCUGACCAAUCACAAUCCAGAACUCCACAGCGCUGUGGGACAAUUUAAUAAACACUACAAGCAGAAUCUUUUAGUCGAUAUACGUAAAACCAUUUGAUGGUGUUUUUUGAGCCUUUAAUCACAGAACUAAAUGUAUAAAUGUUUUCACACAGAUGCGUAUGAGCAAACUCAAUGCUGUUUCAGUUACUACAAGAGACCAAUCCCUGCAGAUACCAUUACAGCGUAUAAAGUAACAAGCCUUCAGUGCAAAAAACCUGGAGUCAUCUUUACUCUAAAGAACGGCAAAAAGACGUGUGCACAUCCUGAAGACGAGUGGGUGAAGAGGGUCAUGGAACUAAUGGACCAGCGCGAGUUUACAACCACUGACGCCGGGACCACUCAUCAGAAAACGAGUGGGUGAAGAGGGUCAUAGAAACAAAUUGACGAGCGAGUUUAAAAACCUGUCCUAAUCUCAGCUAUAAUGUUUAAAUCCUCUCUCCAGUUAUAACCAAUUAUUUUGAUUAAUAUUAAACAAAAUGCACUGUUUAUGCAUUUAAACAGAAGGAAUGAAGUUUUUCACUGUAUAUCCGAUUUGAAAAAAAUAAAAAAACCCUUUUGCUUUAAUUUGUCUUGCAGUGUUUAUCUGAAUUGAACCACAGGCAGUGGGGAUUAAUUUUAUUUUCAGACAUAUUAAAGGGCAUUUUCUAUCACA